GAUGAAGAACGCAGCGAAAUGCGAUAAGUAAUGUGAAUUGCAGAAUUCAGUGAAUCAUCGAAUCUUUGAACGCACAUUGCGCCCGCCAGUAUUCUGGCGGGCAUGACUGUUCGAGCGUCAUUUCAACCCUCAAGACCCCUUCGGGGGACUUGGUGUUGGGGACCGGCACAGGGGCCUGCCUGCUUGUCUUGCAGCGCCCUCGCCGCCCCCGAAAUGAAUUGGCGGCCUCGUCGCGGCCUCCCCUGCGUAGUAGCACAACCUCGCAACGGGAACGUGACGGCGGCCACUGCCGUAAAACAACCCAAUUUUAUUAGAGUUGACCUCGAAUCAGGUAGGAAUACCCGCUGAACUUAAGCAUAUCAAUAAGCGGAGGA
rnacentral:misc_RNA from 1 species